rnacentral:lncRNA from 1 species
AUUUACCCUUCCCUUUCAAGAGAUUUGCUAGUGGAAGGUGGGAGCCUCAUCGAAGAGGGGCCUCGCAAGUGGAUGUAGGUCAUUUGACCGAACCACUUUAAAAUCGGCGUAAUCUCCGGUUUGCGUUUAUGUUUAUGCAUUUAUCUUUCUGCAAACCUUUACUUUGCUAAGUUCACUGCCCUCAUCUUAUUACGUACGCUUUCAACGCAAUUGAAACGGUUUCAAACG